UUUCCGUAGGUGAACCUGCGGAAGGAUCAUUAUUGUUUAACGGAGGUGCGAGGGCUGUCGUUGAUCUGAAAGUUCUUUCACGUCUGAGUGCCCUUACAUAUAUCCACCUCACCCCUAUGUCUUCUACCGCGUCUGUCCGCCUUUGGCCUGUUCGGAGGAGGCCUUACGUUUACACAUUACCUCAGCAUGUAUCGUAGCUUGCAUUUCUUGUAUUUGCGAACACGCACUCAAUACAACUUUCAACAACGGAACUCUUGGUUCCGGCACCGAUGUAGAACC
rnacentral:misc_RNA from 1 species